AAAACACAGACCACUUGGCUCUCUAGCGAGGACCAGAAUUUGAGUCAAAAUUAUAUGCAUGUCCCAGCAAAGCUUCGCAAAGAUGUCAGUAUUAAUUGUCACCAUCCUCCAGGGAGAAAGCAACAGCCCACAAUUGCCUGCAUUUUCUUUCCUCUUCAAAACCACUUCUGCUCCAAAGACCAUGAACCUGAACUGAAGAAACGACUCCUUCCUGCUGGUGUGAGAUAAUUCAGUCUCCAUGAUGUCUUAAUCCUGGGCCUCCCUUAAUUGACUUCUAACUGUGCUGAACUGUGGCUGCUAGGAGUUGCAAUGUGGAUCGCAAUUUACAAGGAAGAGAAAAAGACCGGUCUCUGUUUGGAAAUUACAAACAUAGAAGAACUUAGAAACAAUGGGUUUCUAGAUUGGGUGGAAGGUGCCUGGCUACUUCAAGAGUUGAGCUAAUCACAGGGAAGAUUCAGUCUCAGUUCAGCUGCCUCAUUUGAUCAGCUCAAGACUGAGUCCAACAAAAGUGGUCUGUCUAAUGAAACUCAUUUUCAUUUUUUCUCAUUAGUCUAUACACGAUUGAGACUGUAGAACGACAAAAGAAUAAAAAGAAGAAUGACAAUUAAAAAUCAUUUUCUCUGGCCCUUGAUUUUUGCCUUCUUUUUUUUAAAUGUAGUUACGUGCUCAUUUUUUGUUUCUUUUUUAUUCUCUGCUCUUCUUUUCUAUUGAUUUUCCCAUUUAUGAAGGGGGAAUUAGUAAAUCCAUGGUCUGAGUGCUGAGAUGUUCUGAUAGGCCUUCAAGUUUUCAGCUGUACUCUGAAUCAGAAUAAUAUACUCCAUCAAGGAGACUGACAUUGGCACCACCUUCCCAGAAAUCCAGGAGCGCCUUUGCAUGAGGAAAAGCAGAAGGGAGUAAAGUCAUGAAACAUUGUGUGUGUGUUUGUAUAAAACUGUAUAUUUUUGCUCACAUAUAAUAACUAUAUAUUUCUGCUAAUUUUUCCUUUUAAAGGCUAUUAAGUUACUUAAAAUCCAUUGCCUAAUAAAACUGCAAUUCACCUUUGUAAUUCACUCAUUUGUUUGCUGUCACAGGGAAGAUAGAAAUUGAGCACGUUUUCGGCUGGGUGUGGUGGCUCACGCCUGUAAUCCUAGCACUUGGGGAGGCCGAGGUGGGCGGAUCACGAGGUCAGGAGAUCGAGACCAUCCUGGCUAACAUGGUGAAACCUCGUCUCCACUA
rnacentral:lncRNA from 1 species